UACGUAGGGGCCAAGCGUUGUCCGGAUUUAUUGGGCGUAAAGAGCUCGUAGGCGGUUCGGCAAGUCAGCUGUGAAAUCUCCACGCUCAACGUGGAGGGGUCAGCUGAUACUGCUGUGACUCGAGUCCGGUAGGGGAGUGUGGAAUUCCCGGUGUAGCGGUGAAAUGCGCAGAUAUCAGGAGGAACACCGGUGGCGAAGGCGGGUCUCUGGGCCGUAACUGACGCUGAGGAGCGAAAGCAUGGGGAGCGAACAGG
rnacentral:rRNA from 1 species